GUGAACCCUGGCUCCCCUUUUAUAGCCUCAAGGGAAGACAGGUUUUUACAUGAGUGGAUUUCUUCUGUUGAAUGGUGAAACCACAGUCCCGACCCUGUUGAAGCUGGUCCAUCUCGUCCUUGGGGGAUGGUUGACAGUAUGGCUGCUCCUGUAGAGGGUUACCGAGCCCUGUAGGGGUCGCGGGGGUCGGAUCGUCGGCACUGCUGCACAUCCUGUCAACAGUGGGAAAUGACCUCAAGUAGUGGUGCUGAUUGACCUCCCACAUUCCCUUUCUACUGUGAGGCAGUACGCCACAGUGAGAGAGGUAAGGAUGCAUAGUGACAGAGGUAAGGCUACAGUGACCGGGGUGGUUGGAACAGUCGGCGCCCUGCCCUGCUGCGGUAUGGGAGUCAUCGCGCUUGUCACUUCGGGGGUACGGGCACCGUAUGGUGGAAGUCUUGUUGACCUGGUGGAGCGGGGUCCGGCACUUGAGCCCAGAUGGGAUCGGGCGAGUCGGAACUUGCGUCCGAGGCCCUGAGGGGUUGGGCGAGUCGGAACUUGCGUCCGAGGCCCUGAGGGGUCGGGCGAGUCGGAACUUGCGUCCGAGGCCCUGAGGGGUCGGGCGAGUCGGAACUUGCGCCCGAGGCCCUGAGGGGUCGGGCGAGUUGAAUGAACUGGGGCCCGUACCCUGGUGAUUGUGGCCAGUAUGUUUUUUGCGUUUUUUAUUACUCUGAUUUGGGUAUCCCUUUUUAUGGUACCCAACAGUAGCCCCCGAGCCUCUGAAGGGGUGGGGUCAUCUCUUUAGAGGUUCCUUCCCCUGGGACUGCUUGUUGACUAGGAGCUCUUUUACUUUUCUCCGGAGGGUGCGCGCGAGCGCACCCGCCGGGUGUAGCCCCCGAGUCUUUUGGAGGAAUGGUAUUAUUCCUUCAAAGGCUUUUACCCCUUGCAGCUAUAGUAUGGAGUAUUUUUGAGGGGUAGGUUGCACGUUCUUUACAUGCAGUGCCUGUUCCCAUGGUGCGAGGAAGCCCCCGAGCCCUUUCCCCAAAAGGGUCGAUCAGGUUUUUUCUCGUCUUAUAGUUACGUCCCUCAUUCUUCCUUUCGCUCGGAGGAGGGGUGGGUCGUGCCGUACUACCCUCGAUGGGCGAGUGACGACGCUUCCUGGGAGCUGCAGGCGGGUAGAUCCAAGUGGAUGUCCGAGUCCCAUUCGAUAGGGGUCGGCUGGCGGCCUUAUGGGCACAUCUCAAAAAGUACCCGAGGGCAGUCACGGUGGAUGUCGGAACCGUUCGUUAGGUUCCAAGGGCUCGAUGCCUCCCUCGAUGGGAUCCCACUCACUUGACACCCGCAUGGGCCUCGGAUAUGACUUGUAAAGAUGCGCCGAUUCCCUGUGGGGCUCGGACCUUGGCCUCUAUUGUGCUCAUCUUCAGUCAUCCCUCGCUCAGUCAUCCUGAGGCGACUGUUCGGACCUGUGUCGCAGGUCAGUCUCGCAACCUCUGGAACGUAGGUGGCCAUGGCCUGGGGAUUUUGGGCCUCGAAAGGUUUUUUUCAAACUCGUUUUGUAGUGUCGGGGUCGGGUGAGACGGAAUCUGCACCUGACGGGAAACCGCCUUGCAGUUUUCGCUUGGGGUUGGGCGAGACGGAGAACUAGGCCCGACGGAGACCUUCCUGUGACGCUUGGUCAGCAGGGGGUCGGGCGCCGCGUCCCCUAGAAGGAACCGCCCUGUCAUAACUUUUCAGGGCGCUUCUUUUGAGGCGCAGUGCGUGUGGAGUCGAAACGGUCGUGCCGUCUCGCGCUGGGUGUUGAUAUUUGGGAACGCAAUAAGGAAUUGAUCCGCAAGCGCACGGAUAUCGGUGAGCAUUUCACCCGGGAAAUUAUCCAGAGUAUCGUAUUUAUUUUUUUACCACUAGGAGAAAGAGUGCAUCUGACUAACCGGUCUAUUACUACUAACCUUUAGGCACAAAGAAUGUCUUUCGAUGUGAGUGAUAAAUAGAGAAGACUGCAACUGUAGUCUCCUUCUAACCUUGGUAAGGAUGAUCUACUGUUCUAAUGGGGAGGCUAACGGAAUCUAGACACCACAAAGGAUGUUCGACCCGCACCUAUAAACCCUAUCCUUCCUGCUAACGAGAUGUGAUCUACAAAGGUAGCUCGGAAAUGUCACGUUCCUCACUACUACCACGGUUCAGCUAGUCAGGGAAUAUCUAUGAGUACCCCAGCCUAAACACCACGUUUACGCCAGCAAUGAUUACUCUAAACUCUACGCGAAGAGAUUAAAGUAAACUCAUAAACCAUAAGAACAAUAAAACAAGAACUUACUAGAAUUUAGAAGUCGAAUUACUGAAGAAUCCUAGGAGCAAGCUUCGGGUUAGGAGAACUUGAUCCCGCAGGUACAAACUUGGAGUAGACACCGACAGGCCGGGCUUCCUCCACUCUACACCUCCACUCUAUAUCUCUCAAUCUAGUAGAAACUAGAAGUAUUUCUACCUUACAUUGAUUGCUAAGCCUAAAAAGAAAUAUUAAUUAGAGAAGAGGUUUUCCUUCGAGGGCACCCCUCAGUCUCUAUGAUAAUUUCUUCAUGUCUUCCAGGGGCCAGGGGGGCCUCGCUUAUAUAGUCCUCCCCUUCUAUGCGUUUUUGGGUCGAUAGCCGAGGUGGUACUAUGUUUUUCUUGAUCCAAUAGGUCGGUGGAAUAUCCCGAGCGAAGGAGUCCUGAAUUGGCUCCAGAAGGGGGGCGGGCGCCCAGGCUUCCAGGGCGGGCGCCCUGGGCCUGGCCCAGCUUCGCCUCCGCUUCGGUCUCGUGGCUUCUGGAGUCUUCUAGAUGAUGUAAAAUUGCGCGGUGCGUUGAUAUCUCUAUGUAAUCCUGACAUGUGGGCCUUUCUUCCUUAUUUCCUGAUAACCCCCUUCAGAAAUAGAUAAACAACAAAACUCGUGGAAUUCUGUCAGAUCAAACCCUAAUUCUAUGUGCUGGUUGCAUAUUGGUCCUUUCUUUUGUUUAUUUGAUAAUUAAAAUUGAUACUUAAGAACCGUCAACAAAUACCCCCAUACUUAGGCUUUUACUCGUCCUCGAUAAAAGGAUGGUUAAGAAAAAUAUCUGGGGUAAAACAUUUUAAAGCAUUUUAUAUUUGCAGGGUGUUAAAAUUUCCACUAUGUACCAUAGUCAGGGAAGUAUAUGAUUAAGAGUAAAGAUCCUUUCUUCUCAAUCCUGUCACUUGGAGUUUUUGUAUAUUUUUAAAAGAAAGUUAGCAUACCUUUUUAUCCUCAUAGGUUCUCUCAGAUCACUCAUUAUCUUUUAUAUAUAUCUCACUGAGGUUGUUUUAAUUUUUGCAAGAAUUCUCAAGCAUACUUACUUUGCAUUUAUUGCCUGAUCAAAACGGGAUCCGAGGAGGGGAAUGUCAUACUCUUAGAUCAAAGACUUUAGAAAUUAAAAACUUUGUCAACUCUUGCUGGCAUAUUGCUUAUUAGAGGGACCAUGGGCUAUCAUAUUUUUUUUAAGUGGAUACCGAGGUACCCCUAAUUCUACUGCCGGACACUUGUCCAUUUUUUCUGCGAGGUUGUCGAGCACUUGCUCCUUUUUAUUUCCUCGAAAUAUCUCUAUUUUUGCAUAGCCCAUGCCUCUAAUGCAAUAAUACUUCGGAAGAGUGAAUCUUACUGAAAUAGUGUCUUGAUCUUGGGAGCAUGAUAAAUCUCUCAACAAGGGUCUAACUCAUUUUGAACAAACUCAAUACAGAGCAGAUAGCUUUUAUAAUCAUAAUUAAUAUUUCAGUUUUAUCAGGCAUAUAAAACACUGAGGAUGGUAGCUAGGAAUUUGAAUAUUUUGAAAUAAAUUCUCCAAGCAACAAUGAUAUCAAGAAUAAGAAACUUAUACUCUAUCAUCACAUAUUCCAUUUGACUUAAGUAACACAGGGUUUUAAAAUGAUUUUAUAAUAAUUGCAAGUUUUCAGGAAAUAUCACAGAUUGAGAUUAAUCAUGAUUAGAAAUAUUUUAAUCUUUUUAUUUUAUCAUGUCGGAAACAGUAAUCUGCAUAAUCCAAAAUAAAUAUAUGUGUAAAGUAAAGUGUGCAGAGUGUGUACCUGAAUCGUGGAGUGGUGUAGUCGGAGUGUGUUUGGCAUGUUGAGGGAUCUCCCCCAUACUUGUUUUCUGCUUUCUUGCACAAAAGUAAAGUAGAGACACACAAGACAUAAUAAUAAUAGUAAUACUCUUUAUUGAUCUUGAGGCAUUUAUGACAAAAAGACUGAUAGCAAACUGAUAACAAACUGAUAAUAACAAACUGAUAAUAGCAAACUUAAACCGAAUUUAAAGAUAGAUAAGAUGUAUUGCCUCAAGGUCUAAUCUAGAUAACUUAGCGGCGCUCUAAUUCCUUGAUCUUCUUGUUGGCACUGGCAAGAUCCUGCCUAAGGCCUAGUAUAAUGGUGUUGUGGUUAGAGAGCUGCCUAGUGAGGGAAUUAAUCGAGGACUGGAGGUCUAUGAUAAUUCUAUCUAGCCUGCAAACUUCCUCAUCAAUAUCCAUUAUAGUCUUGCGACGCUUGGGAGGUGUCUCAAAAGCAUUGAGAGCGUGCUUCGGGGCUGCCUUUGGAGGGAUGAAACGGACUUUGGCUGCUCUAAUCCCUUCAAAGUAAGGCCUUUCCUCCUCCGUAGUGUAGCGAACACUGCUGAUCUCACCGCUUCGGUUGGUCUUGACUCCAACGACCCUCUCAUUGGGUCUAGGUGGAAGGACUCUUGUGCCGAUUGGCACCUUGAUAGUGGUCUUUGUCUUAGAUGAUGAUCCUUUGAGGAGUAGGGGUUGUGGUGGUGCGGUGAGAACUGGUUGAGCAUGGUAAGAUUGGGCGGAGCUGCGUUGGCGUAAUGGUAUGGCUUCUAGCUGACGCUCUGUGUUGGCCGGGACGAGAGCACGGGCAUCGGGGUCUCCCACUGGCUCCAUGUUGAGGUUGAAGGGGACGACUUCCCAAUCAUCGUGGUACUUCUCGGCCAUUGGAGUAGCAAGGAAAUAAAAUUUUAAUUAAAGACGAGCUAAUCAAGCUCUAAUUGAAGGAGAGAAAGCUUGAUGGCUUGGUGUUUGAAAACUGAGGUCAGGGGUCUGUUUAUAUAGAGGUCAAAAGGAUGCCUCUAUGGGUUGUUCGGGUUGCUCCCGUCGACUUGCGUGGGAAACUUUCCGUCCGAGGGAUUAUUCGAAUUACCAUAAGUGCAUUUUCCAUAACAGAGAAAGUCGGGACCGAGGGGGAACAGGGGCAGGGCGCCCGCCCUCUCUCUGGCCCCUCUGUGGGCCCACUUUUCCGAGCGUGUUUCUAGAUGCGAAAUUAUUUAGAAAUAUAUAUAUGACCCAAAACCAUCAGACCAAAAGUGUCGGGCUCUAAUUCUCUAUGGGAAGGUAAAAAUGGACUACGUCUAUUUCUUCAAAUUCCUCAUUGGGCUCUAAAAAUAAUUUAAGACGUUGACCAUUUACCUUGAAUAACGUACCUUCGUUAUUUUGAAGUGUGAUAGCUCCGUGGGAUGAUGAAUUGAUUACCUUGAAUGGUCCUUCCCAUUUGCUCCGGAGUUUUCCAUGCCCGAAAAGCUUCACCCUGGAAUUAAAAAGUAAUACCUUAUCUUCGGAUGUGAACUCCUUCUUCUUGAUUCUCUUGUCAUGCCACCUUUUGACUCUUUCUUUGUAGAUCUUUGAAUUGUGAUAUGCCUUCUCUCGCCAUUCUUCCAAUUCUAAUAAUUGCAUUCUUCUAUAAUCUCCAGCAACAUCUAGGUCCAUAUUCCAUCUCUUUAUGGCCCAGUGUGCUUUGAACUCUAGUUCAACAGGUAGAUGGCAAGUCUUCCCGUACACCAAUUGGUAUGGAGACAUUCCAAUUGGGGUCUUGUAUGCUGUCCGGUAUGCCCAGAGUGCAUCGGGUAACUUGUCUUUCCACGCCGUUCCCAUUUCAUUUACUGUCUUCUGAAGAAUAUUCUUGAUUUGUUUGUUGGAAGUCUCUGCUUGGCCACUUGUCUGAGGAUGAUAAGGGGUAGCGACAUUGUGACGGAUUCCAUGUCUUGAUAGAUAUUGCUUGAAACGUUUGUCGAUGAAGUGUGCUCCUCCAUCACUUAUCACUACUCUGGGAACUCCAAAUCUUGGAAAUAUAAUUUCUUCAAACAUCCUCUUUGAACUGACGUUGUCGGCAUGCUUGCAAGGUAAUGCUUCUACCCACUUGGAGACAUAGUCAACCGCCACCAAGAUGUACUCGCACUUCUUUGAUGGAGGAAAUGGACCCAUGUAGUCUAUUCCCCAGACAUCAAAGAGCUCAAUCUGAAGGUUGUUGGUGAGUGGCAUUGCAUCCCUUGUAUUUAUGUUUCCGUGCCUUUGACAUGGCCCACAUCUUCUGAUAUAUUGCUUCGUGUCUUCAUACAUUGUAGGCCAAUAGAAUCCACACUGCCAGAUCUUUGAAUGUGUACGGAAUGCUCCAUAAUGACCUCCAUAUGGUGAUGAAUGACAUUUGUCGAUGAUCUUCCAUCCUUCCUCAGUGGUCACACAUCUCCUGAGUAAGCCAUCAGAGCAUACUCGGAAGAGGUAUGGCUCAUCCCAUAUAUGUGAACGACUUUCUUGAGUAAGCUUCUUCUUGUUUGCUCCUGGUGGUACAUACCCUGAAACCAUAAAAUUAACAAUAUCUGCAUACCAAGGGUCAGACCUGUUAAUCCCGUAGAGCAUGUCGUCCCGGAGUGAAUCAUUGAUGGGGGUUUCCUGUGGACUCUUAAAAUACAUUCUAGACAAGUGAUCAGCAACAGAAUUUUCUACUCCUUUUUUAUCUUUUAUUUCUAAGUCAAAUUCUUGGAGUAAUAAGAUCCAUCUAAUCAGGCGAGGUUUAGCAUCUUUUUUAGUGAGCAAAUAUUUUAAUGCAGCAUGAUCAGUGUAAACAAUUAUUUUAGCUCCAACUAAAUAAGAUCUAAAUUUAUCAAUGGCAAAGACAACAGCCAGAAGCUCUUUUUCAGUGGUUGCAUAAUUAAGUUGAGCUCCUGUCAAAGUUUUACUGGCAUAAGCAAUUGCAUGAUGCUUCUUAUCUUUAGUUUGUCCCAAUACUGCCCCCACAGCAUAAUCACUAGCAUCACACAUAAUUUCAAAAGGCAACGACCAAUCAGGGGGUUGAAUGAUUGGUGCAGAGAUGAGUGCUUUCUUUAAUAAAUUGAAAGAUGUUAGACAUGCAUCAUCAAAUUCGAAAGGAGCAUCCUUGGCUAGCAAAAGAGUAAGUGGUCUAGCAAUGAAUGAAAAAUCUUUUAUGAAUCUACGAUAAAAACCAGCAUGGCCAAGAAAGCUUCGAAUUCCUUUUAUAUUCACAGGUGGAGGUAGCUGUUCAAUUACUUCAAUUUUAGCUUUGUCUACCUCGAUCCCUCUUUCAGACACUAAGUGUCCUAGCACUAUUCCUUCUCUAACCAUAAAAUGACAUUUUUCCCAAUUAAGGAUUAAGUGCUUUUCUUCACAUCUUUGCAAAACCUUGUCUAAGUUUUCAAGACAACUAUCAAAAGUUUUUCCAUAAACAGAGAAAUCAUCCAUGAAAACUUCCAUAAUCUCUUCAAUCAUAUCAGAAAAUAUAGACAUCAUGCAUCUUUGAAAAGAAGCUGGUGCAUUACAUAACCCAAAAGACAUUCUACGGUAAGCAUAAGUUCCAUAUGGGCAUGUAAAGGUGGUUUUGCUUUGAUCAUCGGGAUGGAUCGGGAUUUGGUGAUAUCCUGAAUAUCCAUCUAAGAAACAAAAGAAUGAAUGGUUUGCUAACCGCUCUAGCAUCUCAUCUAUGAAAGGUAAAGGAAAGUGAUCCUUUCUCGUGGCUUUGUUUAAUUUUCUAUAGUCUAUGCACAUCCGCCAUCCUGUGACGGUGCGUUGCGGAAUUAGCUCAUUCUUUUCAUUCAUAAUAACUGUCAUGCCUCCCUUUUUAGGCACAACUUGUACUGGGCUUACCCACUCACUGUGCGGCACAGGAUAUAUAAUCCCUGCAUGCAGCAACUUUAUAACUUCCUUUUUAACUACCUCUCUCAUAGUAUUAUUAAGUCUACAUUGGGGUUCUCGAGAGGGUGAAACAGAAGGAUCUGUUGGAAUACGAUGGGUACAAAUCAUAGGACUGAUUCCUGUAAGAUCUUGGAGUGAGUAGCCAAAAACUGAGUGAUGUUUCUCAAGAAUGGUCAUUAAUCGCAGAGUUUGAUCCUGAGUGAGUUUAUCGCUAAUGAUCACAGGGAACUCUGGAUUAUUGUUUAGGAAAGCAUAGGUAAGACCGGGUGGUAAAGUUUUAAGCUCUAUGGGAGGUCUAGGUGUUUCUGCAAACUCAUCUAAGGGUUCAGGCUCGGAAGGUUCGUCUUCUUCUUCUGUGAAGAAAGGAGUUUCGUCUUCUAAGUCUGGUUCAUCUAAAAGCUCUAGAGAUGCAGCCUUUACUUCCUCCAUAGGAUCAGGCAAAAGAUAUGACUCGGCCUUAUUAUUUAAGGAGUGUGAAAUUAUCAUUGGGAAUUGAAAAGUUUUUCCAAAAGAAAUGUGUAGCUUUCUAGUAUGACCUUCAUAAAGGAGUCUUCUAAAAGGUUGUCCUAUCAAUAAGUCGAAGUCCCAUGUAUCAAAGAUAUAGAAGUUCAAAUGAACCAUGGAGCCUUCUACCGUAAGAGGUAGGACAUUAAUAAUUCCAAGACUGGGGACUAAUCGUCCCGAAGAUUCCUUUAUGACCUUUGUUGUGGGGGUUAAGACAAGAUUUUUAAAUAGUUUAAGUGCAAAAGAUUCAGACAUAAUGUUGAUCCCCACAACAGGAUUAUAAAGAGCAUUAAAUCGAUCAGAGUUAUAAGCACAGCGUAUAGUUAUAGAGGGUGUGUCCAAACGGAUCACAUCAGAGGAAAGCUCUGAUUCCUCCAACCUUUCGCUACUCAUUACUGAGAUAAGCUCUCUCAAUUGAUAUUCACUUGGCAAAUAAAUGCUAAACUGGCCGUUUUGGGGUUUGUCAAUAGAAUGGUAGUUUGAAAUAUUUCCAAAAUCGGCAAAAAGAUCGGAUUCUAUAUCCAGCAUGAAGUCCGGUAGUGGAAUUUCUUCCUCUUGUGGCUCAGAACUUGGGAUAGCUAAAGUAGAUGAAAAAUUUGGCAGAGUGUCUACUUCGGCUUCGUAGGUUUCAUCAUGAAGGGUAUUAUCCAUCUCAGCUUCUAGGAUUCUAUCUAGGAUCACUCUAGCUUCAUCAGCAGGGAUGCGAAAGAAAGAACCUCUAGACAUUGUGUGUAGAAUUUGUUUGUGAUUUUUAUGAAGACCUCGAAAAAAGUGAAAUAAAAGAACAGGGUCUUCAAGAUUAAGGUUUGGACCAGAUUCUAAAAGAUCAGAAAAACGUUUCCAGGAUUUUCCCAAAGUUUCAUUAUCUUUUUGUUUAAAAGAUAGGACUUCGAGUCUAAGGUCGGCUAUACGGUUAAGGGAAUAGAAAUCUAGACAAAAGUUGGCUCGUAAGACUCCCCAUUCACCUUGUUGUUGACUUACCUUCUGACUGUACCAUUGUCUAGCUUCUCCCCUUAGAGAAAAAGGAAAAAGCUUCCAACGUAAAGUCUUAUUAGAAAUGCCUUCAAUGCGAAGACAAUCACAUGUUUGCUCAAAAUCUCUAAUAUGAAGGUAAGGGUUUUCGUCUUCCUUUCCCGAAAAAGAUAGGUUUUGAAUCAUGGCAAUCAACCUAGAACUUAACUUAUACUGGGAUGUUUGGAUAGGCUGUGAUGAUUCCCAUGGUAAAAGGUCAGUUGCUAAAGGGAUUGCAGACUCAUGGAUCGAUUUAGAAUUUUGGUUUUCCAUAAGGUAAGAAUAAAGAAAAUAAAUAAAGAAUAUAAAAGAUACGAAAAGAUAAAAGUAUAGAUACAAGCUAAUAGCAAGACACAGGUUAUCUCAGCAACCGUCUUUCUCCCCGGCAACGGCGCCAGAAAUGCUUGUUGAUAUUUGGGAACGCAAUAAGGAAUUGAUCCGCAAGCGCACGGAUAUCGGUGAGCAUUUCACCCGGGAAAUUAUCCAGAGUAUCGUAUUUAUUUUUUUACCACUAGGAGAAAGAGUGCAUCUGACUAACCGGUCUAUUACUACUAACCUUUAGGCACAAAGAAGGUCUUUCGAUGUGAGUGAUAAAUAGAGAAGACUGCAACUAUAGUCUCCUUCUAACCUUGGUAAGGAUGAUCUACUGUUCUAAUGGGGAGGCUAACGGAAUCUAGACACCACAAAGGAUGUUCGACCCGCACCUAUAAACCCUAUCCUGCCUGCUAACGAGAUGUGAUCUACAAAGGUAGCUCGGAAAUGUCACGUUCCUCACUACUACCACGGUCCAGCUAGUCAGGGAAUAUCUAUGAGUACCCCAGCCUAAACACCACGUUUACGCCAGCAAUGAUUACUCUAAACUCUACGCGAAGAGAUUAAAGUAAACUCAUAAACCAUAAGAACAAUAAAACAAGAACUUACUAGAAUUUAGAAGUCGAAUUACUGAAGAAUCCUAGGAGCAAGCUUUGGGUUAGGAGAACUUGAUCCCGCAGGUACAAGCUUGGAGUAGACACCGACAGGCCGGGCUUCCUCCACUCUACACCUCCACUCUAUAUCUCUCAAUCUAGUAGAAACUAGAAGAUCUAUUUCUACAUUACAUUGAUUGCUAAGCCUAAAAAGAAAUAUUAAUUAGAGAAGAGGUUUUCCUUCGAGGGCACCUCUCAGUCUCUAUGAUAAUUUCUUCAUGUCUUCCAGGGGCCAGGGGGGCCUCGCUUAUAUAGUCCUCCCCUUCUAUGCGUUUUUGGGUCGAUAGCCGAGGUGGUACUAUGUUUUUCUUGAUCCAAUAGGUCGGUGGAAUAUCCCGAGCGAAGGAGUCCUGAAUUGGCUCCAGAAGGGGGGCGGGCGCCCAGGCUUCCAGGGCGGGCGCCCUGGGCCUGGCCCAGCUUCGCCUCCGCUUCGGUCUCGUGGCUUCUGGAGUCUUCUAGAUGAUGUAAAAUUGCGCGGUGCGUUGAUAUCUCUAUGUAAUCCUGACAUGUGGGCCUUUCUUCCUUAUUUCCUGAUAACCCCCUGCAGAAAUAGAUAAACAACAAAACUCGUGGAAUUCUGUCAGAUCAAACCCUAAUUCUAUGUGCUGCUUGCAUAUUGGUCCUUUCUCUUGUUUAUUUGAUAAUUAAAAUUGAUACUUAAGAACCGUCAACACUGGGUGGAUGGGACGUUGCACCUGCGAAAUAAAUGCGCGCGUGCGGCGGGCGCGAGAAUCGGAGGGAGUUGGCGCUUCGAAUUUUUCACCUGGAGAGUGGGCGACGGUUAUUCUUCCUCCCUCUUGGUCUUCUUCGUAGGGCCCGUGGUCGUGGUGUGCCUCUUCUAUAAAAGCGGCCGCUGGGGGCUUGGUUUCUUUCCUCUCGCUCCUGCGCCACAAAGCCCUUGCCUCCUGCCCUUUCUUCUGCCGCCAUCUCCUCUACUUCCACCACGCAGACACUCUUUUUCCUCCCAAAGCCAUGGCCGGCGUUGAGGUGUGGCCGCCCAGCAAUGUAACCAAGUCCGCGCUGGAGGCGCGCGUGAAGGCCGGGAUUCUCCGUCCUCUCAAGGACGUCGGGUUCCCAGAGUGGAUCGUUCCUUCAGCGAACGACAGGGAGCCAAACCUGCCAUCGGGCUAUGUGGUUUGCUUCCUGUUGUUCUUAGACCGGGGGUUCGAGAUUCCAGCCGGUCGCCUGAUCAGGGCUAUCCUCUACUACUACGAGGUGGAGCUGCACAACCUGAAUCCCAACUCGGUGAUGCAGGCCGCCGUCUUCACCACGGUUUGCGAGGGGUUCCGGGGGUUCCUGUCAAUUGGAACCUCUGGCUUCACCUCUUCAAGGCGGACAUGUCAGCCCGUUACGUGGGGAAAGAGAAGAUCCCCCUGCGAGCCGGCGGCUGCACGCUGCAGCUUCGUCAGCAGUGGUCCGGAUUGUACAUCUGGAGCUCGAUGCCGUCGUCAAACCGGGGGUGGCAGAGCGCGUGGUUCUACCUCCGGAAUGACGGUGGUCUUCUGCCGAUGUAUACCGGGAAGAUGGUGACGGAGGCCCCCCAGAAGUGGGUGUGGGGCGCUCCGUCAGAGGAGCAGAAGAGGCUCGCCCCGCUUCUUGCGGGGCUUCAGAAGCUGCGAGAGGCCCGAGUCACUGCGGCCACGGUGGCAAUAGCAUUCCAUAAGAGGAGCCUGCUUCCGCUGGCGCAGCGUCGGGUGCCCAUGUUCGAGAUGACCCGGGACGUCCCUUGGGCAGGGACGAGGAUGUUAGCCGAGCCGAUAUCGGCCUCGGACAUCACUGCCCGGGUCGAGAAGACGACGCACCCGGAGAUGAAGAAUUCCCGGGUGGUGCCGAUGCGCCCUGAAAAGGGCUACAUUUCCUUGGUAAGAAGGUGUCCUUUGUUUCGAUUUCUUGUUCCUGUUUUUUUUUUUGCCUGACUCCCUGUUUAUCUGCUUGCUCCACAGGGGAUGGGGGCCGUCAGGGAUUCUCUACCCCCAGUCCCUGAGGACAAGGAGAUCCGGGCCAAGAAUAGGGCCCGGAAUGAGGAGCAGAAAAAGGUGAAGGAGGACAAGAAAGCCAAGGCGGCGCGAAAAGCGCAGCGGCGGGAGAUCUCCGCCAAGAAUCACCGUGAAGCCGAGAAGGCGGGGGUCGCCCUGCCCCCCUCUCCCGAGACUUCGGUCUCGGAGAUAGAGGGCAGGGGCGGCGACGCCGACUGGCUUGACGAGCUGAUGGAGGAGGACGACGCAGUCCCCCCUGCCGGAGGGAUCGAGGCCCCGGAAGGGUCAAAGGCCCGAGGUGGGUCGGAGGCCCCCGAGGGGAUCCAGGCGCCGGGGGGCGGACAGGCCGUCCCCCACAUCAUUGUGGAUGACGAGGACAGCGCCCCUCGUGAGGGUUCCGCCCCUGUGGGUCCUCAAGAGGGGGAGAAGGCGUCGGGGGCCGAGCCCGAGGAGCCCCCGCAUCCGGUAGUGCCGGAGAGUCUGGCCGAGCCCUCCCCUGCGUCCGGGGCGGGAAUCGGUGCCUCGGAGGAGGUGUCGCAGGCUGAGGUCACCAUGGUACCCCCUGCGCCAUCGGCAGGCGAGGCGGGAGUCCGACCGACGGCGCCUGGCGCCGCGGGGGACCCCCAAGGAGCUCCGAGCUCCCAUAAGAAGUCUGCUCCCCGAGCGAGGUACAUAGAGGAUUUCUGAUCCUUCUGCUGAUUUUUUGUUUUUCUCUUUCUUCUGACUUGGUAUUUCUCCUUUAGCCGCAAGCAAAAGGCGCCUUCGGUGGCGCUGGCCCCCCUGAAGGCUGUAAAGAGGGGGGCCCAGUCGACUCCCGGGUCGGCUAGGCCUGUGUCGCCGCCGCCUCCGGGCUACGAAGAGGGAGGGCCCCACCAAGGGCAGGACACGGGGGUGCCGAAGCCGCAAAGACUGGAGGAGGCGGCCCUUGUCCCCGGGGCUGCGCCCCCUCCGGAGGAUGCUGAUCUGGGAGGUGCGGUCCGACCUGCGCUUGCUGAGGAAGGCCGAGCCAUCGUGGCGUCCAGCGCGGCGCCUGAGGCUCCCGCGGCGGGAGGGGAGGAAAAGGCCCGAUGGGGCAAGAGCCCCGUAAUCUGGCCCAACCUCGGCGAUGCCGAGGGGGGAGCCAGAUUCGUUCUGGACGACCCGUUGGAGAAUUACCUCUGGCAGGGUCUGGAAUCGUGCGGGCGUGCCAGCGUCGAGGCCAUCAACCGAGCUUCUCAGCUCGUGGCCCGGGACAUGUUCAAUUUGGCCCAGGUAAGGCUUUCACCUAUGUUGCAAAGUAUUUUUGUUCUUAUUUUGUAAUGCUAACUCCCUGCGUGACUUCUGAUUUCGUAGGCGCUCAAGGCAACAUCCCUGGAGAAGUCAAUUUUUCUCCGCCAGGAAAGGGAUGCCUGGGCGUCUUAUGAGAACGAAAGGGCUGCCAGGGAGGCGGCCGAGGGUGAGCUCGCGAAGGAGUGCGAGGUCUCCGCCGAGCUUCGGCGGAAAUGCUCGGCCCUGGCAUCAGAGGCUCAGGAGGCCCGGGAAAAGGUCACCCCCCUAGAGAAGAGGCUCGGGGACCUUACCCUGGAAUCCGAGGAGCAGAAGGCGGCGGCCGAGGGGUAUAAGGGUGAGGUCGCUCGGCUUGAGGCUCUGCUUGCCGAAAAAGACCUUGUCCUGAACUAGACUCAGGCUGACCUUGCCGGGGCUCUGAGCUAGGUGGCCCGCUGGCACCAGAGCUCGGCGGAGUACGACAAGCGAGCCGAGGGUAAGGCUUGCGCCUUUUAUCUUGGCCCCCUUUACACUUUUAAGUUAGUCUUUCCUGACUUUUUGUUUCUUGCUCUGUUUUUCAAUCAGAAUUGGAGAGGAAGGCGGUCGAGGCGACCUCCACUGCCGAGGCCCUACAGAAGUCCCUUGACGCCGAGGCUUCGGAUCGCUCGGCUCUUGAAGCCGUGGUGACCUCGGCGUGUGAGGGGCUCGGGGUGUCGGUGUCGUGAUCGUCGCUGCGGAGUCGGGUCGAGGCCCUUUACUCCCAGGCCGGGGAGAGGAUGAGGGAGGCACUCCACACCGGAGUAAGAAAGGCCCUGGCGGUGGUGAGUUCUCACUAUGCCGGCAUUGACUUGCCGGCAGUCUGUGAGGGCUACGUUCUCCCGAACGACGAGACUGAGGCCCAGGAGGAGGUGCAGAAGCUUGAGGACGCCGCGGCUGCCCCCGGAGAUGCCUUGGCCGCCUUCUUUGACGACGAGGUGGAGCUUCCGCCCCUUGGGGCUCAAGGACCUGGAGAGUCAGGGCAGCAGGACCCUUAGAUUUCUUUUUUCUUUGUGUAGGUAUUAAGGCUAGUGGGCCUUGUAUUGUAUAUAUACAUAUAAUGUUAAUGUCGGAUGCGGAUGUUUGUAUAACUGCUCUUUAGGCUUUUUUCCUGAGUAUGCUAUUUUCUUUUUUCCUUAUGCCGACCUGACCUCGGCAGCGUGAGGUCGGGUGAACUACUUAGAGUUUUGCGCUAGCCAGAGUCCCCGAGCCUAAGCCCUUUUCCUUUUUCCUUAGUAGCUUUUAGAAGUCCGAAUCCGUCCCCCGAAUCUAGGGUGAGUAGAGGUGGUCUUUGCUCGUGAGCGCAGAUCUUUCCUCGGGCUCAUGCCUUAAGAUUUAGGGGAUGAGUUUUCGGUUUCUUAAGUCUUUCUAGGAGAGAGGAGGAAGACCUUGGGUCGGGGCUCUUUUAACCUGCGCAAAAGAAAAGGAAAAAGAUUUGGAAUUGGGGGGUUCUCCCCCCAUGUAGCCCCCGAGGGAGGCUCGGACUCUGCUGGGCAGGUCCGAGGCUCCCUGAUAAGAAAAAAGGGCCAUAUAACUUAAACUUUCAUUUAUUCCUCCAAGGUGAUGAACAAACGAACAAAUUUUUACAAAGUUCUAAGGGUAAAAGCGACGUAGCUGUUCUAUGUUCCACGCGUUCUUGAAGACCUCCCCAGCUUCAUUGGCAAGCUUGUAGGUGCCGGGUCGGAGAACUUCGGCGAUGGCGAAGGGUCCUUCCCAGGGGGGUGUGAACUUGUGACGACCCUUGUUGCUCUGUCUGAGCCUCAGCACCAAGUCGCCGACUUGAAAGGCUCGGCCUCGGAUCUGUCGCGCAUGGUAUCGGCGGAGGGCCUGCUGGUACUUGCCGGAGUGUAGGAGGGCUACGUCCCUGGCUUCAUCCAGCUGGUCCAGCGCGUCUUCUUGGAACAUUUUGCCACUGUUUUCGUCAUAGGCUUGUACCCUUGGGGACCCAUAGACCAUGAAGAACGGGGUGAAGCCCGUGGCUCGACUUCGGAAGGUUCCCAGACUCCAGACCACGGCAGGUAGCUGUUUGAGCCACCUUUUCCCAAACUUGUUCAGACAGUUGAAGAUCCUGGGCUUCAGACCCUGGAGGAUCAUGCCAUUGGCACAUUCCACUUGACCGUUGGUCUUGGGGUGAGCCACUGCCGCCCAGUCCACACGUAUGUGGUGUCUGUCGCAGAAUUGCAGGAACUUUCGCCCGGUGAACUGUGUGCCGUUGUCGGUGAUUAUGGAGUUUGGCACUCCAAAUCGAUGGAUGAUAUCUGUGAAGAACAACACCGCUUGUUCAGCCUUGAUCCUUGUAAUGGGUCGGACUUCGAUCCACUUGGAGAACUUGUUGAUUGCGACAAGCAAGUGGGUGAAGCCCCCUAGGGCUUUCUGCAGAGGCCCGACCAGGUCGAGGCCCCAGACAGCGAAAGGCCAGGUGAUGGGGAUCGUCUGCAGGGCCUGAGCUGGUAGAUGUAUCUGCCGAGCGUAAAACUGGCAUCCCUCACAGGUCCUUACGAUCUCUGUGGCGUCGGCCACGGCGGUGGGCCAAUAGAAGCCUUGUCGGAAGGCAUUUCCUACCAACGUCCGAGGCGCGGUGUGAUAGCCACAAGCCCCCGAGUGUAUGUCCUGCAGGAGCUUGAUUCCUUCUUGACGAGGGAUGCAACGCAUGAGAACGCCCGAGGGGCUUCGCUUGUACAUCUCCCCAUCAAGAAGAACAAAGGUCUUGGCACAACGAGCCACGCGCCUUGCUUCAGCCUGAUCCGGGGGCAAAGUACCGUCGACCAAGCGUUGAAGCAAAGGGUAGCGCCAGUCGGGUGAGUCGUCGGAUGUGGGUGGCUCUAGCUCGAUGUCCAUGGCCUCCUGUUCUUGAGCGGCAGUGUCUUUGGGGUCGGAACUCUGUUCGCCUGGGGGUUCGUCCGACCCCCCGUCGUUCUUGUAGUUGACAGAAGGCUUGUAGAGGUCGCUAGCGAAAACAUCCGGGGGGACCGUGGCCCGCUCGGAUGCCAUCUUGGCGAGCGCGUCGGCGGCUUCAUUAUAUUUUCUUAACACGUGGUUAGGUUCGAGGCCGUCGAACUUUUCUUCCAGGCGUCGGACCGCUUUGCAGUACGCGUCCAUCUUGGGGUCGUGGCAGCUAGACUCUUUCAUGACUUGGUCGAUGAUGAGUCUAGAAUCGCCUCGGGCGUCGAGCCGUUUGAUCCCAAGCUCGAUCGCGAUGUGGAGACCGUUAACAAGGGCUUCGUACUCUGUUGCAUUGUUUGAAGCGGGGAAAUGGAGCCGAAUUGCGUAUCACAUCCUUACCCCGAGGGGUGAGAUGAAGACAAGGCCCGCGCCGGCCCUCGUUUUCAUCAAAGACCCAUCGAAGUACAUAGUCCAGCACUCGUGCUGGAUUUGUGGUGGUGGGAGCUGAGUCCCAGUCCAUUCUGCCACAAAGUCCGCUAAGACCUGGGACUUUAUGGCUUUCCGAGGCUCAUAGGUGAUCCCAUCGCCCAUGAGCUCAAUGGCCCAUUUAGCAAUCCUGCCAUUGGCCUCUCGGUUCUGAAUCACUUCUCCUAGGGGGAAAGACGAGACCACUGAGACUGGGUGAGAUUCAAAGUAAUGGCGGAGCUUGCGUCGGGCCAAAACUACUGCGUAGAGUAAUUUUUGGAUCUGGGGGUAUCGGGUCUUUGUGUCGGAUAGUACUUCGCUGAUGAAGUACACCGGUCUUUGGACCAGCAGGGCGUGCCCUUCUUCCUUCCUCUCGACCACGAUAGCCGCGCUGGCCACCUGAUCAGUGGCUGCGACGUAGAGAAGUAGUGGUUCCCCCUCGGCGGGGGGCACCAGAACGGGAGGGUUGGUGAGCAGAGCCUUGAGCUUGUCAAGGGCUUCCUGGGCCUCGGGGGUCCAGGAAAAGUGCUCAGAUUUCCUAAGUAACCUAUACAGAGGCAGCCCUUUUUCCCCGAGGCGAGAGAUAAAAUGGCUUAGGGAGGCUAGACAUCCCAUUAUCCUCUGUACUCCCUUUAGGUUACGAAUCGGGCCCAUGUUUGCGAUGGCCGAGACCUUUUCUGGAUUGGCCACGAUCCCUCGCUCAGACCUUUUCUGGAGCAUGCCUCGGGGGACCCCGAAAACGCACUUUUCGGGGUUGAGUCUGAUCCCUUUUGCCCUAAGGCAUUGGAAUGUUUCUUCCAGGUUGGCGACCAGGCUGCUCGCUUUCCUGGACUUGACGACAAUGUCGUCUACGUAAGCCUCUACUGUUUUGCCUAUAAGGUUCCCAAAUACCUGGAGCAUACAUCGUUGAUAUGUAGCCCCCGCGUUCUUGAGGCCAAAAGGCAUGGUUACGUAGCAAUACAUUCCAAAAGGAGUGAUGAAAGAAGUCGUGAGCUGGUCGGACUCUUUCAUCUGGAUUUGGUGGUAACCAGAAUAAGCAUCAAGAAAAGAUAAAAUUUCACAUCCCGCAGUGGAGUCAACUAUCUGAUCAAUACGAGGUAAUGGAGAGGGGUUCUUUGGACAUGCUUUAUUUAAACUAGUAUAGUCUACACACAUCCUCCACUUCCCAUUUUUCUUUUUAACUAGCACGGGGUUGGCUAACCACUCGGGAUGGAAUACCUCCUUGAUGAAUCCGGCCGCCAGCAACUUAUGGAUCUCCUCCCCGAUGGCCCAACGCUUCUCCUCGUCAAAUCGGCGCAGGCGUUGCUUCACGGGCUUGGAGCCGGCUCGGAUGUCCAAGGAGUGCUCGGCGACUCCCCUCGGUAUGCCAGGCAUGUCCGAAGGGCUCCACGCAAAUAUGUCAGUGUUUGCGCGGAGAAAGUCGACGAGCACCACUUCCUAUUUGGGGUCAAGGCUGGAGCUAAUCCUCAAAGCCCUGCCCUCAGAGGUUCCGGGGUCGAGGAAGACUAGCUUGGUUUCCUCCGCCGGCUCGAAGCUCCCGGCGUGACGCUUGGGGUCGGGUACGUCCUGGUCGCAGUCGCCGAGUCCGGUAAGGAUGGCCAGUGAUUCAGCCAGAGCCUCGGCUUGCUCAACGCACUCGACGUCGCACUGAUAGGCGUGCCGACUGGUCGUGCUGACGGUGAUGAUGCCCUUGGGCCUUGGCAUCUUGAGCUUGAGGUAGGUAUAGUUGAGGACGGCCAUGAACUUGGCAUAGCAUGGUCGUCCCAGGAUCGCGUGGUAGGUCCCUGGGAACCCGACCACGUCGAAAGUGAGGACCUCCCGUCUAAAGUUGUCAGGGGUCCCGAAGCAGACGGACAGAUCGAUCUGUCCGAGGGGGUGGGCACGAUGCCCCGGCACCACUCCGUGGAAUGGCGCGGUGUCGUUUCUCAGCCGGGACUUGCUGAUCCUCAUGAGCGCCAGGGUCUCGGCGUAGAGGAUGUUGAGGCCGCUGCCUCCAUCCAUAAGCACCUUAGUGAGACGGGUCUCGGCGAUGAUGGGGUCGACGAUCAAAGGAUAGCUCCCGGGAUUGGGGAUCCGAUCCGGGUGAUCCUGCCGGUCGAACGUGAUCGCGCUCUCGGACCAUUUGAGGUACGAGGGCGCGACUGUGCUGACUGCGCAAACUUCUCGGAGUUCGCGCUUCCUCUGACUCGCAGUGAGGCGAGCCGCUCGUCCCCCGAAGAUCAGAAGGCAGUUCUUGACCUUAGGGAAAACCUCCCCCUGGGGGUCGUUGUCCUUGGGAGGCUCUUCGACACUCUCCUUGGUGAUGAUGUCGGUAUAGUACCGACGGAGGACGGUGCACUCCUCAAGGGUGUGUUUGGUUGGCCCCCUGUGAUAGGGGCAGGGCUUCUUCAACAUUUCGUCGAAGAGACCGGGGCCGACAGGAGCCCGCUUGGGGUUCUUGCGAUCAGCUGCGGCGACUAGGUUGUCAUCCGACUGACCCUGCUUCCCCUUGCGACCCUUCUUCUUCUUUUUUGGGUCGCGUGAGCCCGAGGCUUCAGUGGCCUCGGCCUUUUGUUUCCCCUUGGCCGCGCCGUCGGAGAAAAUGGCGCCAACUGCCUCUUCCCCUGAGGCAAAGUUGGUGGCGAUGUCGAGUAGCUGGCUAGUGCUCGUGGGGGUCUUGCGUCCGAGCUCGUGCACAAGCUCUUUGCAAGUGGUGCCGGAAAUGAAGGCUCCGAUGACAUCGGAGUCCGUGAUGUUGGGGAGCUCAGUGCAUUGUUUGGAGAAUCGCCUGAUGAAGUCUCGGAGAGACUCAUCGGGCUUUUGCCGACAGCUCCUGAGGUCCGAGGAGUUCCCAGGGCGCACGUAUGUGCCCUAGAAGUUCCCAACAAAGAUCCUGACCAGGUCAGCCCAGUCGUGGAUCAUGCGCUCAGGGAGGUGCUCGAGCCAUGCCCUGGCCGUAUCGGCCAGGUAGAGCGGGAGGUUGCGGAUGAUUAGCAGGUCGUCGUCCGCCCCACCUAGCUGGCAUGCUAGGCGGUAAUCCGCCAGCCAAAGCUCAGGGUUGGUUUCCCCUGAGUACUUGGUGAGGUUGGCGGGUUGUCGAAAUCGCGCCGGAAACUUGGACCUUCGUAUGGCUUCGCUGAAGACGCGGGGACCAGGAGGCUCUGGUGACGUGCUGCGGUCGUGAUCGGGGUCGUACCUCCCGCCUCGGCGCGGUCGGUAACGUCGGGACUCGGCCUCGUCCCUGUCACGUCGCCUGGCCUCGAGGGUGGCACGCACGUCCGCGUCAGCUCCGACGCGCUCGUGUACCGACGGGGCCCUGUUGCCCCCUUGUGGGUUCGGGGGCGGCGGAUCCUGUACCGUUGGUGCCUUGUUAGGAGGUAGUCGUUCCUCACGACGUCUCGUGCCGUGAGACUGUGAGGCAGAACUCUCCGCGUUUUGCACCACAGCCUGCUCCAGGAGGCCACGCAGCCCCUGGCGCACUCUCCUUCCCUCAGGGGUCGACGGCUCGGGCAUCGCCCUGAGGAGGAGUGCAGCGGCUAUCACAUUCUGGCUGGCCGUGCUGAAGACUGGGGCGUCACCCCCUUGGUCCUCGACGAUACGGCGGUUGACGUCACGGGCACGGCGUCUGGCCUCACCCCCGUCUCCGCGGCCGGAUGGGUCUCGGAGCAGGGCUUCACGGAGUUGGCGGAGGCGUGCGCGUUCUUCUUCGAUCCUAGCCUCCAGCUCAUCGAGCUGUUCGAGGUCAGGGCGGUUCCCCCAACGGGGGCUGAUGCUACCCCGCGGGAUCCAAGGUCGGUUCCGGGAGUUGGGUUGGGAGGUGGAGUUGCAUUCUCUUGCCUAGAGGGCCCUGCGUCCCCCUGGGCAUUAUGCGGUGUGCCCCCGACUUCCAGGUUGAAGCAUUCUCGUGUCGGGUCGUAGCUCCCGUCGUCGGAGUCGGAGUAGCCGAGACAGUAGUUGCUGGCUUCCAAGAAGCGCAUGAAGGUUUCCGGGUCGCCGUACCCGGAAGCGCUGGCCCAUUCGUCGUCGCCUGAGGUAGGAUCCUCCGGAUAUGACGAAACGGGUGGCGUGGAGAUGAGGUCCAGUGUAGACCUCAAGUGGUGACCUGGAAGUUCCACGUAUGCACUUAGCGAAGUGCUCGCGGAAGAGGCGUAGGUGGCGGCGGCGUUCCUGAGUCCAAAAGGUAACUCGAGGGGCGCCGCUGCUCUUCCUUUACACAUGGGUGGAGGAGGUCGGGAUGUUGGGGCCCCUUUGUCCCCCUUGCGGGGGACGGGCGCGGGCCGUGCCUUCCCCUUCGAUCGGGGCGGAACGGGAGGCCGCGAUGAUCCUCUGUUGGUCCUGGGACUGGAGCUUGAUGCCCCGCGAGCCCUUCCUCUAGCGCCCGUCGGGCCGGAGGAAUGGGCGACCUCGUGAGGAAUAUGCGGGGGGAGGGCCGGACGGGUCCUAGCCUCGGUGGUGGGACCGGAGAUCCUAGAUCUCUAACGCCCCCGCCGUGUGCCCGCCGCACGAUGUCCCGAUCGACUUCCAUGCACUGACUGUGGUGGGAUCGGCUCGGGACUAGGCUCGUCAUCACCACGUGGCGGGAGGAGGACCAUGUCGUAGCCGGAACCGAGAGACAUGAACUCCAAACUCCCGAACGUCAUGAUGGUGCCGCGGCGGAGUGGGUGAAAUCCGUCUGCCAUCCAAGUUCUCCCAAUAGGGACAGGCGAGCGUCACGCAGAAGGCCCCUACCUGGCGCGCCAACUGUUAGCGUCCAGACUCGUGGUCUAGGCACUAACAAGUAUAAGUCUGCGUGACUACCCAAACUUGGAUGGUGAUGCAAGUGAGACACAGAGAGUUUAUAGUGGUUCGGGCCAAGAAUGCCCUACGUCCAGUGUGGUUGUGGAUUCUGUAUAACCUUGCACCGAAGGUGCUUGUAGUAGGGGGUACAAGCUGGUCGCGAGAGAGGGCUAAGUCCCAGGUCUCGGCUUAGUGGUGGACAGAAUGAUGAUCGUUGCUCUGUGAAAGAGUGCGUUGGGCAUGUGCAUGAACCUUCUGAACCUGUCUUAGUUGUGAACCCUGGCUCCCCUUUUAUAGCCUCAAGGGAAGACAGGUUUUUACAUGAGUGGAUUUCUUCUGUUGAAUGGUGAAACCACAGUCCCGACCCUGUUGAAGCUGGUCCAUCUCGUCCUUGGGGGAUGGUUGACAGUAUGGUUGCUCCUGUAGAGGGUUACCGAGCCCUUUAGGGGUCGCGGGGGUCGGAUCGUCGGCACUGCUGCACAUCCUGUCAACAGUGGGAAAUGACCUCAAGUAGUGGUGCUGAUUGACCUCCCCCAUUCCCUUUCUACUGUGAGGCAGUACGCCACAGUGAGAGAGGUAAGGAUGCAUAGUGACAGAGGUAAGGCUACAGUGACCGGGGUGGUUGGAACAGUCGGCGCCCUGCCCUGCUGCGGUAUGGGAGUCAUCGCGC
rnacentral:lncRNA from 1 species